rnacentral:rRNA from 1 species
UUAAAAUUGUUGCAGUUAAAACGCUCGUAGUUGAAUUUCAAAGAAUCAAUAUUUUAAGUAAUGCUUUUGGUAUAAGAUGCUUAGGCAAUACAACGUAUCUGCUCUUUGCAUUCCUUAUCCAAAAUGUGUUCUUAUUAUAAAAAGGAUUCUUUUUAAAAUCUCCUUUACUUUUUGUACUGGAGAUUUUGUUACUUUGAGUAAAUUAGAGUGUUCAAAGCAAACAGUUAAAGCAUUUUACUGCGUUUGAAUACUACAGCAUGGAAUAACAAAAUUGAACAAGUCAAAAUUCUGUUCCUUUUUCUUAUUUUGGCUUAGUUACGAUUAAUAGGAGUAGCUUGGGGGCAUUUGUAUUCAGAUGUCAGAGGUGAAAUUCUUAGAUUUUCUGGAGACAAACAACUGCGAAAGCAUUUGCCUAAAAUACUUCCAUUAAUCAAGAACGAAAGUUAAGGGAGUGAAGACGAUCAGAUACCGUCGUAAUCUUAACCAUAAACUAUGCCAACUAUGUUUUGGAUGUAUGAGAAAAAGGUGGAAUACUUUGUUUUACGACAUUGUCAUUCCAUUUAUGCUUCAUUCAGUACCUUAGAGAAAUCAAAGUCUUUGGGUUCUGGGGCGAGUAUUCGCGCAAGCGAGAAAGUUAAAAGAAUUGACGGAAGGGCACCACCAGGCGUGGAGCUUGCGGCUUAAUUUGACUCAACACGGGAAAACUUACUAGUAUAAGACAAGAGUAGGAUUGACAGAUUAAUAGCUCUUUCUUGAUUUCUUGGAUGGUGAUGCAUGGCCGUUUUUAGUUCGUGAAUAUGAUUUGUCUGGUUAAUUCCGAUAACGAACGAGACCUUAACCUGCUAGUUAGCGGCCGGUAUGUCGCGAAUUUAUCAAAAUCUUAUCUCGUAGGCUGGAUUAUUUUUAGAAGAUAUGACGGAUAACCGAGUCGAGUGUCGUCCCCAUCACUGUUCUAUUAAUUCGCAGUCUGUCCUGGUUUUUUUUUGGUAAGUAUGUAUCCGCUUGAAUGUAAGCUUCUUAGAGGUACGAUGUGUGCUUAACACAAGGAAGUUUAAGGCAACAACAGG